CUCCUCCUGGGUCGCUUUCGGCAUCCUUUUUCUUUCAUAGGAAGUAAAUCCAGAAACUAGUAAUAAAUAAUUCUAAAGAACCUUCUUUUAUGAAAUGAAUCUAUGUAAUGGGCAUAACCCAGAAAAUCAAAGCUUCAAUUUUUUAAGCAAAUCCACCCACAUUCCUUUGUAUCACCUUUACUCCUAGAUUUUAAGCCUUUCUAGGUUUCAAAUUGUUAAAGCCUUCUCUCAAUCUCUUGAAUCCUCCUCCGCCAACAAAUUUUUGGGGCACUCGUGUAUUUUUGUUACGAGAAGAGUGUCUCCUUGUGCGGUAUAGACAAUGUUUUGAGCUCCGAUCUAUGUGUUUGCCGAAGCCCCUUUUAAUCUUUUUCCGGAUUUCGAUCGUCGAUGCUACUUGCCUAGCUUUAAGCUUUCUGAAGUUUUUCGAAGCUCACCAAGCUAUGAGUCACUUGAAGUUGAACCAAAUUUUGCCCACAGUUGAAGAAAUAAAGACUAAGAGAAAAAGUGAAAGUGUACAUUAUUAGACUUAUGCUCACUCUUCACCAGUUACAUGUGAGUUCUAAUAGCUAGUAUUGAAUACCUUAUCCAAAUGUUGCUGCUCGGGACUAAGACAAAUGGAGUUGCAGGAUUCAUUUAGCUUUCAGAUAGUGAGUAUGAUUGCUUUGGCAUUGGCCAUAGUCCGACUGCCAUCUUAGCAGGCCCAGGUGGAGCAAAUGAACAAAAGGUAGACAUAAACAAUGAAGACUUUACUUAGAGUGUUGGUUGAUUAUUGUUGAAACCUCAUAUGUUCCGGAAAUCAUUCGAACAUUUUGCAAUCUUAUGUAUAUUAGUUUUGCAUUUGUAAACACAAUUGUAUAAUUUACUUUUAUGUAUAUUACCUUCAAAU